UGGGGAAUUUUGGACAAUGGGCGAAAGCCUGAUCCAGCAAUGCCGCGUGUGUGAAGAAGGCCUUCGGGUUGUAAAGCACUUUUGUCCGGAAAGAAAUCCUUGGCUCUAAUACAGUCGGGGGAUGACGGUACCGGAAGAAUAAGCACCGGCUAACUACGUGCCAGCAGCCGCGGUAAUACGUAGGGUGCAAGCGUUAAUCGGAAUUACUGGGCGUAAAGCGUGCGCAGGCGUUUGCUAAGACCGAUGUGAAAUCCCCGGGCUCAACCUGGGAACUGCAUUGGUGACUGGGCAGGCUAGAGUAUGGCAGAGGGGGGUAGAAUUCCACGUGUAGCAGUGAAAUGCGUAGAGAUGUGGAGGAAUA
rnacentral:rRNA from 1 species